UGACUAAGCCAUGCAAGUCGAAUGUAGCAAUACAUGGCGAACUGCUCAGUAACACGUGGACAACCUGCCCUUAGGACGGGGAUAAACCCGGGAAACUGGGUAUAAUACCCGAUAGGUCUCGAUUGCUGGAAUGCAUCGAGAUUUAAAGCUCCGGCGCCUAAGGAUGGGUCUGCGGCCUAUCAGGUAGUAGUGGGUGUAGCGUACCUACUAGCCUACGACGGGUACGGGUUGUGAGAGCAAGAGCCCGGAGAUGGAUUCUGAGACACGAAUCCAGGCCCUACGGGGUGCAGCAGGCGCGAAAACUUUACAAUGCUGGCAACAGCGAUAAGGGAACCUCGAGUGCCAGGUUACAAAUCUGGCUGUCGAGAUGCCUAAAAAGCAUUUCAUAGCAAGGGCCGGGCAAGACCGGUGCCAGCCGCCGCGGUAACACCGGCGGCUCGAGUGGUAACCGUUAUUAUUGGGUCUAAAGGGUCUGUAGCCGGCCGGAUAAGUCUCUUGAGAAAUCUGGCGGCUUAACUGUCAGGCUUUCAGGAGAUACUGUCUGGCUCGAGGCCGGGAGAGGUGAGAGGUACUUCAGGGGUAGGGGUGAAAUCUUGUAAUCCUUGAAGGACCACCAGUGGCGAAGGCGUCUCACCAGAACGGACCUGACGGCAAGGGACGAAAGCUAGGGGCACGAACCGGAUUAGAUACCCGGGUAGUCCUAGCCGUAAACGAUACUCGCUAGGUGUCGGCCACGGUGCGACCGUUGUCGGUGCCGUAGGGAAGCCGUGAAGCGAGCCACCUGGGAAGUACGGCCGCAAGGCUGAAACUUAAAGGAAUUGGCGGGGGAGCA
rnacentral:rRNA from 1 species